CCUUGUUUUCUUUCCCGUCGUUGGAAUUUGCAUCUGGUUACAGCAAUAUUACAUCCCUUCGGCACGAGAACUGGCACGAUUGGUUGGAGUAUGCAAAGCGCCAGUCAUUCAGCACUUUUCCGAAACAAUAUCCGGAUCAACGACUAUUAGAAGCUUUGAUCAAAAACACAAGUUCAAAUUCUGAUGUACAUUUGUCAUUGAUGAUUAUCUAGCUUUGAUGGAUGGUUUAGUUGAAGCAAUUCGACGUAACAUCAAAAGGGUAUAUGCUUUUACCAAUUCCCAAAUCUUAUUUGAUCAGAUUACAAAUGAGGAAGUGCCUGAGAAUCCACUUCUCAUGGCAUUGAGACAAAGAAUACUAGAACAUGUUAAAAAUCUUGAACAUUUGGUUCUAAAAUGUGUUCCUGAUGUCAAUCUCGAGCCUCCAUUGCACCUGGCGCGAGUGGCAAUUGGGGGCGUUCAUGAUGCCAAGAGCGAUCCAACUGUUGAAAAUUGUUUAAUAUGUUCAUGAUGGUCACACUGAAAUGCUCACACAAAUGCUGUCCCAUUGCUUGAAGGCUUAUGUUGAUGAAAAAGUUGGGCUAUCUGAGGUUUCCCAUUAGGUGCCUGAGCCCAAAAUGCAAAUAUUACAUUUCUGUCCCUGAACAUAAGUCUUUUCUUCCUGUUGGCUCUUUUAUGUCGUUACAGGAAGCUCUUUUGGAACCAAAUGCGUGUGCGGCUGACAAGUUUUACUGUCCUUUUGCUGACUGUGCGGUUCUUCUUGAUCCUAGACCUUCAUUAACCACGGGGGUCCCACGUACUCCAUCAAGUUCUAUUACGAAAAAGUCGAUUUCUGGUGGUUCUUUACUUAAAUCCGGUGCACGAUGGUGAAAGUCAAAACAUUAUUGCCUUGACUGUAACUUAAGAUAGUUUAGCAUUGCUUAUCUUUUUUAUUAUUUUUGUCGAGACAAAUCGAACACUUGUUCAUACCGUUUUAGUCAUAUUACGACUCUAUUUUUUGUUGUUUUCUCUUUUGUUUUGCUAACGGUACCGUAUUUGAUCGAAA